UACGUAGGGGGCGAGCGUUGUCCGGAUUUAUUGGGCGUAAAGAGCGUGUAGGCGGCCAGGUAGGUCUGCUGUGAAAACUCGAGGCUCAACCUCGAGACGUCGGCGGAAACCAUCUGGCUAGAGUCCGGAAGAGGAGAGUGAAAUUCCUGGUGUAGCGGUGAAAUGCGCAGAUAUCAGGAAGAACACCCGUGGCGAAGGCGGCUCUCUGGGACGGUACUGACGCUGAGACGCGAAAGCCAGGGGAGCAAACGGG
rnacentral:rRNA from 1 species